rnacentral:rRNA from 1 species
GAUGAACGCUGGCGGCGUGCUUAACACAUGCAAGUCGAACGGGAUCCAUCAGGCUUUGCUUGGUGGUGAGAGUGGCGAACGGGUGAGUAAUGCGUGACCGACCUGCCCCAUACACCGGAAUAGCUCCUGGAAACGGGUGGUAAUGCCGGAUGCUCCAGUUGAUCGCAUGGUCUUCUGGGAAAGCUUUCGCGGUAUGGGAUGGGGUCGCGUCCUAUCAGCUUGACGGCGGGGUAACGGCCCACCGUGGCUUCGACGGGUAGCCGGCCUGAGAGGGCGACCGGCCACAUUGGGACUGAGAUACGGCCCAGACUCCUACGGGAGGCAGCAGUGGGGAAUAUUGCACAAUGGGCGCAAGCCUGAUGCAGCGACGCCGCGUGAGG